AGUAGAAUGACUGAGAAUUUAAGGUGAAAGAUUGUAAAUCUUUUUAGGAGUAGUAUACUCUUCUACUA
rnacentral:tRNA from 3 species